rnacentral:rRNA from 1 species
UACGUAGGGCGCAAGCGUUGUCCGGAAUUAUUGGGCGUAAAGAGCUCGUAGGCGGUUUGUCGCGUCUGUCGUGAAAGCUUGGGGCUUAACCCCAAGUCUGCGGUGGAUACGGGCAGACUAGAGGCAGGUAGGGGAGAACGGAAUUCCCGGUGUAGCGGUGAAAUGCGCAGAUAUCAGGAGGAACACCUGCGGUGUAGACGGCUUACUGGACCAUAACUGACGCUGAGGCACGAAAGCGUGGGUAGCAAACAGG